rnacentral:rRNA from 1 species
UACAGAGACGUCGAGCGUUGUUCGGAUUCAUUGGGCGUAAAGGGUGCGUAGGCGGUGAGGUAAGUCGGAUGUGAAAUCCCAAAGCUUAACUUUGGAAGUGCAUCCGAAACUGCCUUGCUCGAGGACUGGAAGGGAGACUGGAAUUCUCGGUGUAGCGGUGAAAUGCGUAGAUAUCGAGAGGAACACCAGUGGCGAAGGCGGGUCUCUGGACAGUUCCUGACGCUGAGGCACGAAAGCCAGGGUAGCAAACGGG